GACCUGGCGGCUUUUACUGCUCCUCCGGCGCGGGGCGGCGGUCGUCAACUACAGUUCCCAGCAUGCCACGAUCCGCCUGGAGUAAUUCUCCACGCCUGGUGAGAACGAGGAGAAUGCCGGGACCCUUGCGCGCGCGGCUCUUUGCGCGCCGCGCUCAUAUUGCUGGGCGCAAAGCUCCGCCCCAACAAGGCCGCCUCUGGGCGGGGAAGAGCGGGGGAGCUUCCCUGGCACCUUGCGCCCUAUCAGGAGGAAGAGGGCGGGGCUUCCUGUGAGCGCACCUCGCUGCCUGUAGCUAGAAGAUCAGAAAAGGAACAACCGCGGGUGCUUCGCAGUCUCGCUUUUUUGGGGGUCUUCUCAAAUAGCAGCCACCUUCAUUCGCUCUUCCCAUGCUCUGCUUCAGUUUUAUAAAUAGCAUUUAUUUCUACCUGA
rnacentral:antisense_RNA from 1 species